CCUUAAACCCCUUCUCCUUCCGUCCCUUCGUGUUACAAAGGCAGCGACGGAAGGGGGAAAUAAAAGGGGGGAAACAGGAAAACCAUUCUACAAUUCCUUCGAGCUUCCCUUCGUGCGAUGCUUCAGUUCUAGUCUAGGCUCUGCAUUUCGGAACACUUGAUAGUUAUGGACCGCCAGAGUUUGCUGUGGAGGGAUGAUCAGCAGUGGAGAUUAUUGACUAAAGAGGGGGACCUCCAGGCUUUCGACGCCAUGCAAUCCAAGAUGAAAUCUACGGCGUCUGCCCUUCUUCGGCGAUCUUUGAGGACGGCUUCCUGAUCUUCUCUUUUACGAUAUCUAGUUCUGUGCUGGCCUGCGUGCCAUGUGAGGCUGGUGGCCUUGUAAUGCUACUUAACUUCCUUGGUGUUUAAACUCUGAUUGGGUGUCGGGUGCUGGUGAUGUACUCUACCUGGUGGCUUUAUUUAUAAAGUCGGGCUCUUGCCUUUUCUCUAAAAAAAGGUUAAGCAGUUGUUUGCCAAGGAAGUGAACAUUUGUGUGGGGCUUUCCCAAAUGGUUUCUUAGACUUGUCAGCAACAAUA